AUGUCUCCUCUUAAAUGGAUUUUCCUUGUUGCUAUUAUAAAAGGUGUCCAGUGUGAGGUCCAACUGGUGGAGUCUGGGGGAGACCUGAGGCAGUCUGCAGGGUCUCUGAAGCUCUCCUGUGCAGCCUCUGGGUUCUCCUUCAGUAACUAUCACAUGUACUGGGUUCGCCCAGCUCCAGGGAAGGGACUGCAGUGGGUAUCACAUAUUCCUGCUGGUGGUAACACAUGCUACGCAGACUCCGUGAAGGGCUGGUUCACCAUCUCCAAAGACAAUACCAAGAACAUGCUGUAUCUCCAGAUGAACAAUCUGAGAACUGAGGACAUAGCCAUGUAUUACUCUGCAAGAUACACAGUGAGAGGAAGUCCGUGA